CCCAUUGGCUCCUCAGCCAAGCACAUGCACCAAAUGUCUGAACCUGCGGUUCCUCUCGUCGCGAGACAGGGGAGG